rnacentral:lncRNA from 1 species
GUUGAAGCACCUAUCAGCCUGAGUGGGUGCAGGAGGGGCAGGACAAGGCGGGGGUGCCCCUAGAGCCAGUUCCAGACAAAAGCUGCCUCCUUCCCCCACCUCCACUUCUGCCCACCUAGGAGCCGCCUGCCUUUCUGAGCGUCCUGUUGCUGCUCCAUCCCUGGCUGGCACGGAAUAUCAAUUUGUCUCGUUAAGCUGAAAGUCUGCACUGCACCAAAAUCAGAACCCGCCAGGCAGAGGGGCUGAGGAGGGAGAGAGCCAGAGCAGAGCCAAGGCAGGGCCCCAGAGCAAGGUCACACCACUGACACCAACAUUGUUCUUCAACCCCCCAGACUGAUCAUAGGAUCCCAUCUACCCUGGCCAAACAGUGGUCUGCCUGUGUGAGUGUGCACAGGGGUGGGGGUGCCAGAUGCUAUGGAUGCCCAGGCCUGGGGAUUGUCAAUGGAAAAGAAUGUGACUCAGAGAUGAUCCCUUCCUGGGGUUUGCACUGGACAGCCUUGGGCCCCAUCAGAAGGACUCUUGCCUCAUGCCAAUAGCCCAGGCCUGGGGCACCUCAAAACAGCCUCAUCUCUGCUUCUCUUUUACCCCACCCUUCCUGGGGGCAUUCUACUGGUCAUACCUUGGCUAAACUCCAAAGUCAGCACUGUCCCUGUGUAUCCCCAAUCCAGGACCAAGGGCCAGGCUGGGAGGCUAGAGGCUACCCUGCCCCCCCCCCCAUCAUGGCUUAGAGAAGCCUAGAGAAGCCAUUGGGCCUUGGAUCAGGGAGGUGGGCCCAGGUGAGAAGCCUCUGCCAGCUUACUGUGUGCAGGAGUAGGACAUCAUGCCAAACCACUUUCCCAGGUACAGAGCCACCUGCAGAUCAGGAAACGACAAGUCCUUGCACCCUGGGGGCUACUGCGAACAGAGGAGAAGGCUGUGUGUCAGGACAAAGCUAUACAAGUGUCUGGAUAAACUGCCCUGUGACCGAGGUCCUUAAACCCAAGUCCAGGCUGCAUACAGAUGUGUACCUGUGACCUGCCUGACCUCUGAGAGGGGAAUCCCAGACCUUCCGGAAUUGGAGCUCACAAAACAAUGGAGCCAAGGUCACAGGAGCGAGUACUGCAGAGCUGGAAAUGGAGGACCCCGAGGACUACGUGGAUGAAGCAUCUCAAGUCAGAAACAAUCUCCUUCAUGCUCCCCUCAGGCUGGCACCACCUUGCCAGAGUGCGCAGCCACUUCCCCACCGUCAACCCUGCCUUAUGACCUUGAUGACCUUGGUCUCUGCCUGUUCUCCUGAAAACUCUACCUGCAGCCCUGCUCCGACACUCGCAUCACUCUUUGACUCCACACCCUGCCUCUGUGCUCCCCAAACUCAUCCUUUCCACCCCCUGCCUGAGAACUCCCACUCAUCCUUCAAGAGUCCUCUACAGCAGUCCCUCCUUCAUGAGGACUUCCUGGAUUUCCCUUCUCCAUCAGCUAGUCUUCCUAUGCUCAUGUGUUCAUCAUGCUGAUGUACUCCUGGGGACAGGAACUUGGGUCUCAUUUGCCCGGGAGUAUUCCUGGCAAUGGACACAAAGCUUCAACAUAUAUUGAUUGAAUCAGUGAGUGCAAGUUUAUCAACUGCAAACGCAAUCCCUGGAACAGG